AUGCCUUUAAUCCCAGCACUUUGGGAGGCCAAAGCAGGCGAAUCACAAGGUCAGGAGUUUGAGACCAUCCUGGCCAACAUGGUGAAACUCCGGUCCCUACUAAAAAUACAAAAAAUUAGCUGGGCGUGGUGGUGCAUGCUUGUAGUCCCAGCUACUCCAGAGGCUGAGGCAGGGGAAUCCUUGAACCCAGGAGGCGGAGGUUGUGGUGAGCUGAAAUCAUGCCACUGCAGUCCAGCCUGGCGACAGAGCAAGACUCCAUCUCAAAAAAAAAAAAAAAAAGAAAAGGGAAAAAAAUGCCUCAAUCUAAGGAGCACGUCAAGGAACAGAUUCAAGGCGGACUUGGGGCGGUCCACCCUCACGAGGACCUGCAUAGAAAUGGGCAGCAGCUGGCGGCUCCCCCACCAGGGUGUGCUCUCUGGCUCUGCGGUGAGUUCCUGCUCCUGCCCAAGCUGGCACCAGCCUGAGCACCUGGAAGUUCUGGCAAGUGCCCGCCUCAGAGGUGAGUCUGCUGUGCAUCUCCUGGGGACAGGGCACCAAGGGUGGAAGAAGAGCCACAGUGUCGGUUCCCAGACCCACAGUGCACACCUGCCGCUGUCCUCCACCGUCUCCCGGGUUCACCGUCCUCCAGCCCCUCUCCUCCAUGUGGGGUACACAGGCAGAAAGACGCUCACAGGUUCCGCUCAAGCAGCGUGCAGGAACCCACCCCAUGUCACCACAAUGCUCCAGCCCCCUUCUGUCGUUUUUUGCGGCUGUUCCACUGCAGCAGGACCCCCGCAGCAUGGACCAAGGUGGUUCAUUUCCAUCCUUGCCUAUGUGGACGCGCACAGGUGUGUGCUGUCUGCCUUCUUCCACUUGGCGUUGCGCCCGUGAGGCUCCCCCUGCUGCGGUGUGCAGGUGCGGACCCUUCCUCUGUGUUGCUUCUGGUGUCUGGACGCAGGCGGCGUCUUUCUCCCUUCUCCUGGGAGGCGCGGCUGGGAGCAGAGCUGCCAUCUGCCAGCGCUCGGUCUUUGGGUGGACCCGCAGACGUGCUGCACAUUCAUCAGCUGUGUCUUUGUGUCUGUGAAUGUCAAGUGGACACGGCCACUUUUGGAAGAUUUUCCAAAGUGCUCAUCCCGGUUCCCCUCCCAGCAGCUGCACCCUCCCCCACUCCCCAGCCUAGGAUCUCACUGCCACCCGUCUGUUUCGUCCGUUUUACUUCGUCUUGUCAGGUGGGUGUGCAGGAGGACCUCGAGGGGGUUUUAACCGAGUGCCCUGAUGGCUGACGGAGCGGAGCAUCUUCCUGUCGACUGGCUGUGGGGCACUUUCCUUUGUGAGUGAAAUGCCUGCCCAACUCCUUUUCCAGCUCCUCUGUUUGAACUCAAGGUUCCACCGCCCAUGCCCUUUCCCUGCCCAGGCUGACACCACCUCUGUAAAGAGGGACUCAGCCCAUUUGUGUUCUGUCCACCUAGAGACUGCAAGAUGGAGCCUUGAACCCCUGAAGUCCAUGGGGCAGGGUGUGAAGGAGUGAUUCCAACUCAAGGCAAAUCAUGUUCGGGCAGUCAUCCCUUCACGGCCAGGCUGCCUUGGGAGGCCGUCUUUUAGCCCCUCCCCCACUCCACCUCCAUCCCUGCCUGGGCAGGCCCCUGGGGGUAAGGCUGUGUUUUCUGGGACCCCCAGCUGCUGGCCCAGUCCUGUGGUAGGAAUAGCACCACCAUGCGUUAAGAGGCCUGAAUCCUCCUCUCUGCUGUGGAGCCUGUGUUACUGUCUCCCUCUGUGCCUCAGUUUCUCCAUCUGCUUAGUGAGGGCAUGAAACUCAAAGGUCUUUGAUUUUAGUCUUCUAGCUGAGGUCAUUUCUCUCCAUGAAGGUUGCUUUGUAAACUUAUAAACAAAACAAAUACAUCAUAUAAAAUGUUAAAAUCAAGGGAAAGAAUUUCUCAGGGUCCAACCUGCUCAUCCUCAGACAACAAAUGCUGUCAUUCUGGGGUGUUUCUUUCCAGACUUGUUCUUGGAGUGACUUUUCUGAACAUAGUUACGCUCCUGUCACUCAGGCGCCUUUUCCUCUCACUUCCUCCGUGGACCUCGGCCCGAAGUAUUUCCCGUGGCCCUGCUCUGUCCUCAUUCACGUCUUUUUAAACGGUGAUGUAUGAAACCAGCGCUCAGCUGAUCACCCCCCGCUACUGGACGUGAAGAUGCUUUCCAAGUCUCACCAUGACAAACGGCACAGCAAGGGUGGACAGCCGACCCGGAUACGUCUUUCCUCCAUGGAUUUGGGAUUAUUUCCUUAGAAUACACUCCCAGAAUCAGAAUUCCUGGAGUGAGAUCCCUGAACUUCAGUGUGUGUGUGUGUGUGUGUGUGUGUGUGUGAUGUAAGUUUGUUGCAACCUUGUUAUCCUGAUUUAUGAAGUCAAUAGCUAAGCCUGGGAACUACCCUGCCAGCUCAGCCCCACUCCCGCCCCGUGCCAGCCAUUACUGCUUCAGAGCGUGUUCAUGCA
rnacentral:lncRNA from 1 species